UGUUUCUCCAACGAUGAAUUGGAAGAAAAUUAUCAGACGAAUAAAGGAUUUGGAGGCCAUACAGUUGAUGAUUUUAAUUCACCCAGAAAAGCCUUAGAUACCCAAUAAUGUCUAAUUCACAUACGCGCUUAUUUCAUACAAUGGAUCAUACUUAUUAUGGUUAUCAAAACUGAAAUAUAUUACGUACCGCAUACAAGGAGCUAGGUAGUGGAGCCAAUGUAUUGACAAUUUUUCGGACGUUGAUUUUCUUGAAUAUAAUUCUGCAGACUCAGAUGAAGCCAUACACUAUUGGAGCGAAUUGUGAAACUCAAAGGUGAGAAUAUUGUUGAUAGGUUUUUAUUCCAAAUCUAUUUUACUGUGCUAUUAACUAACAUAGCUACCUGUCCACGGCACACAUAGUAUAAUAUCUAAUUGUGUGCGUGGACAUAUUGUAUUAAACCCGUUUAGUCAAAAUAAAAUAAGAAAUAAAUAAUUAUAUUAUGUUACAAUCUUAAAAUAUCCAUGACUUGUUUUAAAAAUAAAAUACAAAUCUAAUGAAGUGCUUGUCCAUAAGGUUCUUUAAAAAAUAUUCUUGCCUUUAAGUUUGAUUAUAACAUUAUGUCAUAUCACUCUAAUAUAUUAAGACUAACCGUACAAAACUGGAUCUACUGUACACACACAUUUGCAUGUUGCUUGUUAUUCAAAGAAAGAAAACAAAUGGUGCACUGACAUAUUUUUAACAACGUCUUAAUUUUUAGGUAAUACAAUAUUGAUGAGCAAGAAUCCAAUUUUAAUAACCCAGAGGGCUCAACAUAUUUAAAUUGCAAAGAAACACAUAACUAGUUUGGACAUUGGUAUCUUUUCUGAAGAGAAAGUGCAUCUAGUUGGACGCGUUAAACAGGUAGUCAAGCCCUAUUUGCCAUUUGCAACGAGUAGAGAAAAACUUCUUUGAAAAGAGAUUAUGCAAUUGCCAAAAAUCUUCAGUGGCUGUUAUUAAAAUUCUUCAACUAUCAACAAUGGACAUAAUUUAUGAAGACUUUAUUUUUAAGUUUUAUAAUAAAA